GCAACAAACGGUGAUGAGCGUACA
rnacentral:siRNA from 1 species